AACGCGUGCGGAAAGCAGGGAGAAAUGUGUACCCACUUGAAUUUUUGGGAACAUGGCGCCAAUACAACAAGAAGCAGAGAUCGGCAUCUACCGAGAAGCCCAUCAAGAAGAUAAGAAAAUAUAUCAGUGUUAGGACACAGAAAAUCAACGGUGAUGCUAACGGGCUUGCGGAGAAAUUGGACCACGCCCUUCUCUUUUAAGAUGACGGUGGAAGGGAUACGCAGCUUGUGCGCCUCAUCUCUUCGUAUUGCUAGGUUUUCUAACCCUUUGAUUCGUUUUUGCUUGUUAAACCAUCGGAAUUUCAUGGUUUAACAAUACAAUAGUCAACUUGUCGUUAGCGCAAACAAUUAUGUAAAAGGUCUUAAGAUGUAGAACACAUUAAAGAAAAGUCGCACAAGCCCAGUAACGAUGCGACCAACAAAGUUGCCAACUUGUUAAGAGCCCUGAUGCUCGGUCUGAACAUUAUCACGCAUUGCUUGCCAUACGGUUUUGGAGGCAUAAGGACCGUGUCUUUCAUAUUUCAAAAAAACAAAAGGUUAAAUUGAUACAUCUUUUUAGGGUUAUGGAGUGAAUGUUAUUUAUGUUAAGGGUUUACAUGGAUAAAUUUGGACCUCUCUGAAAUGAAAAUGGAUGGCCCUCCCUUCAGGAAAUUAUUGUUGUGGUUUGAGAGCUUCACUGAGUGUGAGCUAAUGUUAGCUAAUGCUCAUGAUGUUUAUUGUACACAAACAACACACACUUUUAGGACUGACUAGGUCCAGCACAGCACAAUCUGGAUUCUAUGCCAGGGCCAUACAGCAUGUCAAUUCCCCCGAAAUGACAGUUACACAGAACAUGAAUGUGGCACUGACUGAUGAUUGGCCAACACUAUUGCCAAUCACCCCACAUGGUAGGCGGGACAUAAAAGGGGUAUAUCUGCAUUCACAACACUACCCCCCUCCAGCAGUGCCAUACUAAAGGCAGGAACAAUAAAACAUUUUCUUGUUUUGUCUUUCAAUACGUUUUUCCAGGUCAGUAUUUUCAUCAAAAUGUUAGCAGCUUUUCUUUACCCAAUAAAUCAUCACAUAUAGCUGGAGAAUAAACUGUAAAAAUAAUUUAGACAUGAAGAAAUUACAUCCUUACCUUCUCUUUCUUUCUCUGUGACAGCUGGUUCUUUUCGUGUUCAGGAACUCUUUUGAAAUAAUGAAGAUGAAAGAAUGGGAGACCAGUGUGGUGACCAGGUUUCUGGAGCUCCUGACUGGAGCUCCUGACUGCUCAGGUCCUCCACAGCGCCAGCGGAGCCCCUUGUGGGUUGCAGUUUCACAUACUGGACCUCUACAUGACUGAGCUGACUGCAGUUGGCUCAGCUGAGGUAUAACCCAUGGUUACUCUCACUACGGCUCAGAACCUGACGUUUAUCGACCCGUUCUGCAAAACAGCAUCCAAAACCAAAGAUCGGAUCCUGCUCAAGGCUAUCUGCGGCAGCAUCUUCAGUGCCAUUGUGGACCAGGCUCCCUUCGUCA